AUUGAACGCUGGCGGCAGGCCUAACACAUGCAAGUCGAGCGGAUGAAGGGAGCUUGCUCCUGGAUUCAGCGGCGGACGGGUGAGUAAUGCCUAGGAAUCUGCCUGGUAGUGGGGGAUAACGUCCGGAAACGGGCGCUAAUACCGCAUACGUCCUGAGGGAGAAAGUGGGGGAUCUUCGGACCUCACGCUAUCAGAUGAGCCUAGGUCGGAUUAGCUAGUUGGUGGGGUAAAGGCCUACCAAGGCGACGAUCCGUAACUGGUCUGAGAGGAUGAUCAGUCACACUGGAACUGAGACACGGUCCAGACUCCUACGGGAGGCAGCAGUGGGGAAUAUUGGACAAUGGGCGAAAGCCUGAUCCAGCCAGGCCGCGUGUGUGAAGAAGGUCUUCGGAUUGUAAAGCACUUUAAGUUGGGAGGAAGGGAAGUAAGUUAAUACCUUGCUGUUUUGACGUUACCAACAGAAUAAGCACCGGCUAACUUCGU
rnacentral:rRNA from 1 species